CCUACGGGUGGCAGCAGUGAGGAAUAUUGGUCAAUGGGCGGGAGCCUGAACCAGCCAAGCCGCGUGAGGGAAGAAGGUACAGCGUAUCGUAAACCUCUUUUGUCAGGGAACAAAGGCGGGGACUAGUCCCCGGAUGAGGGUACCUGAAGAAAAAGCAUCGGCUAACUCCGUGCCAGCAGCCGCGGUAAUACGGAGGAUGCGAGCGUUAUCCGGAUUUAUUGGGUUUAAGGGGUGCGCAGGCGGCCUGUUAAGUCAGCGGGAAAAGCCCGGGGCUCAACCCCGGCGAGCCGUUGAAACUGGCGGGCUGGAGUGGGAGAGAAGUACGCGGAAGGCGCGGUGUAGCGGUGAAAUGCUUAGAUAUCGCGCAGAACCCCGAUUGCGAAGGCAGCGUACCGGCUCCACACUGACGCUGAGGCACGAAAGCGUGGGGAUCGAACAGGAUUAGAUACCCUAGUAGUC
rnacentral:rRNA from 1 species